AUCCUCACCUGGCAGGGGAGACACCAUGAUCAAGAAGGUGGUUUUCCCAGGGUGAGUCUCAUCCCUUGCACUCUGGGUGUGCUGACCCCUGCAAUUUCCCAAAUGCAGGAAACUCGACUGCUUAAUUUGUGGUAGUGGGGGGACUGCGUUCAUGCUUUCCCCUA